GGGCAUUUCAGGUCUUUAACACAAGACACGUGGGAGUCUCCUCAGCCUCCACAACUUCCCAUCUCAUUUCCUCUUCCGGUAUGAAGACACAGAACACAGAUUAGUUAUAGAGAGAGACAAAAUUAGCCAGGUAGAGAGAGCGGAAUGGAGGAACGGGCGGUGGUCUUCGUCCGGCCACCGACCAGUGGUUUUGACGUAGCAAACAACGAUAGAAUUUGACACACUCACUUUUUAGAAUCCAGAUGAGGGUUGUUUUUAGAGAAAGGGGUGUUCACCUGCUGUUACCGGUGAUGUUCCGGCCAUGACGGCGGCGGAUCUGUGUACCAAAUCACCACCGUCGUUCACCAUCUCCACCACCCUCAUCUUCAAAAUUCGUCCAAACUUCAACAAAACGAAAUGAACAGUAAAUCAGGGCACAUCUGCUGACCGCUGCUGGCCACCAUUCAUUGGUUGUGGUGAGGCCUGAUUGGCCCCUUUUGGCGGUGAUAACCUCAUCAUCAAAUCAGACACGCGUUGGUUUACCUUUGUCCCCCUUUUUGCUUUCUCUGUUCAACAUUCAGCAUCAGACAUCAGUGUUUCAUCUGAGGACCAGGCAGAUGAGGAGUUGUCGGCCAUGGCCUCCGGCCGCCCUCCUCGCCCUGGUUACACACCUCGCUGAUGAUGGCGGUGGUGGUGGUUUAUAGUGUUUCAUUUGUGUGGUUGGCUGUGACCACUGCCUUACCACUGUCGGUUACUUCCACAACCACCACCGUCUUCCCGGCCGUCGGUGUCGCCGGUGCUUGCGAAUCUGAAACCCUAACCCCCAAACCCAUCUUUCUCUUACUGGGUUUCUGCUGGUGGAAUGUGUGGUUGGCUGUGCUUAAGCUGACGGUUGUUAGGCUGUGAUGAGUAUCAAAUUCAUAUAGAUCAUUCAUAAAGUUGGCGCGGCAGGGUGGUGGAUGGUAGGUAUAGAACUGCAACCCACCUUGCAGCCAGCUUCUUUUGGAACUCUGAGCUUUAGAUUUGUUUUUAUUGUGUGUUUGAUUUUUAAUGUUUCUCCUGUGUUUGCAAAUGUGUUGAUACAUAUGUGUUUGCGGUAUGCUUUUCGCUGAAUUGGUUGAUUUGUGAUAAGGAAAACAGAUUAGGUGUUAAUCGAUUGGUAAAUUUGGUGUUAAUUCUUUGUUGAGAAAUUUGGUCUCAAUCGAUAGGUAAGUUUGUGUAGCUCAGCGGUUGUCCGAUGAUGACGGUGGUGGCGUUAAUGGCAACGAUGCCUGUUUGGUUUCUGACAAGGGUUCCAACCGUGACAGUGAUGUUGAGGUGAUGGUUAUCGCCAAGUUGAGACCCGAUUGCUUAAUUUUGUUUAGCCAAUCACAUGUAACGUGAUUUUGGUGAUUAGGAGGUAACUGCCGGUGGCAAGGCAGGCCGCCGGCCAUAACGUUUUAUGGUUAGGCUUAAGGUGGUGGUCCUACGGUAGUGCACAGUGGUGAUGGGUGUUGGAAUGAAAUGUGAUGGUUGUUGUUGAUGGGUUGGCUACCUUGAAUUAUGGAGACCAAAAGAGAUUUACACGAUGGCUGGAGUGAUGAUGUUUGACGACAAGUACAAGUGAUGUUUCCGGCGACAGAACGACCACAAGCCGGUGGACAAAUGGACGUUACAUGGUGGUUACCGAGAUGGUUGUCAAGGGUCGUGGUUUGGAUAAUGAACAGGUGGUGACCGAAAGCUAUGAGGCUUAUAUGGGUCUCUUCCAUUUGGUUAACUCAGACAACGGUGACGAGACAGGUUGGCUUUGUUCAACAAUAGACCCAGAGGAUUCGGAGAGUUUACGAAGAGGAAGAUCUGAAGUAUAUUGGGUUCGAUUUGGUUGAUCAAGUGAAAUGGACUUCUUACUUCAGGGUUGUAUCUGGUUUUGUUCAAUUGAAGAUUGAUUGAUGGAGAUGAGAAAAGAACAAAGGAACUGGAAUGCUUACUAAUUGGCCAAUACAGUAUUUACAAUGAAGAUUUGAUCUAUAUAUAAAUCAAGAAGAAACAAAAUUGGCAGGAAUGAAAAUGUCUUUUUUAUUAUUCAAUGAAAAUGUGUUCAUACCAAGAACAAGUCCUAUUUCAAAGACUAAGAAUCAAGUGAGAAGAUGAACUCCCCUGCUGCUCCAGAAUCCAGGCAAGAUUGCUGCCAAACGCACUCACUGGCACCGACCUCUUGGCCCAGCAUACAUAAGAGUGGUACACUUUUUAAGUCAUAAGGUUAUUUGAUUUGGGUUUCAUGUAGCUCAACAAUUGUUCUAUAUUGGUUUAUUAUGUUUUUGAUGGCUUUGAUCUAUUUGAAUUCGUUUGAUUAAUACUCAUAGCUGUUUUGUA